UAGCGUCUAUUGUAUUUGUGAUUGGCUUUUGUCCCCUGAGCUGAUAAAUAAAAACCAAGGAUAUGAGAUAGCGUGCUAUUGUGCAAGCCCGCCUUGAAGCGGGAAGCCUACGGUGCGCUUCGAACUUCCGACUUGAACCUUAUGGUUCAGGUUUAAAGUCAGCGCGAUGCGAUAGACGCUGA
rnacentral:other from 1 species